UCCAUUUUGUUGCUGGAAACUGAACUCUGGAAGAACGGUACGUGCUCUGACCACAGAGCCAUCUCCUCCAUAGUUUUAAACUACACACAGUAAGAACAGCUGGGAAACAAUUAUGAAGACUAUCCUGUAAGAAUUACAUUCACGAUGCCCACUCCAUUUGUGUAUGGCAGUUUAGGUGAAGUACUCUACUAUCUCUUCUAACUUGGACUAGUCACAACUUGUAACCAACACCUCUAAAUGGCAACAAACAUCCGUGACUCAUCAAACUACUAAAAACCACCUACCCCACCUCUCGGGAACGAGGGUGUCAUGCUGCCUGGAGGGAGAGGUGUCUUUUGGGUGCCCUAAGAAAACUGGUAUGUCUAGUCUCGCUGUAACAGUCUUUGAGACUAGACCAGCUGGGGUCAGCAGCUUUGAAGCUUUGAUUGGAGCAAGUUUUGAUCAGUUAUGAAGGCGGUCUGACGCCAAAUCAAGCAGGAUGCUGGAACAAACAUGUCUCGGAGUGUCAGCAUCAAUUUCAGCAUCCUCCAGGACUGCUUUAACCUCAUUGGCAUCUGGUCCUUUUGUCCUGUGAACAUACACUUUUACAGGUAAUAUACAUUUUUGUAUAAACACAUGUAUGGAAUGUUCCGUGUGUGAGAUUUAGCUGACAAUGAUUUUCUGCUUUUUGUUUGAGCAGGUGAAAGGCAUCUGUCUUUCUUUAUAAGUCAGUCAGGGCUGUAUGUCCAACUGUAAUACCAGUUUUUAAUCUAUGCCACAUGAAGGGAUGACAUGAUAAGGCCUGAGGUCUAUGUAGCCAAAAAGAUUUAUUGGCUAUAUAGAGAUUUUCCCCCAUAUCUCAGCUAGUCUCAGAGCUGUUCCCAUGUAGAGAGAUCAGCGAUAUAUGUUAUCUGGUUUGUUGAUCUUGAUUUCUUCCUGUCUGUAGCCAAGAUUUUCAGGGGUUCUCCCCUGGUCAAAUCCAAUCUUUAUUAAUUUUGUAGAAAUCCAAAGUUGUUUCUUUUUGUUUUUGGUUUUUUUUUCCUGUUGAUACAGAUACAAAACCUCUUCACCAACAUAAUGCAUUUCCUGUCUUCCAUUCUGAAGUUAAGACGAUAUAUGUCGAUUAACUUUAGCAGUCUUUUUCUUAUUUAGGUCUGCUUUACUUUGAUCUUUCUUAAAGCGGAUGUAUAAAUCAGCAGCCAUUAUUGAGCACAUUGCUCCAUGACGACACAACUAAACAAAACUA